AACGAACGUUAGCGGCGCGCCUAACACAUGCAAGUCGAGCGAGAAAGGGCUUCGGCCCCGGUAAAGCGGCGCACGGGUGAGUAACACGUGGAUAACCUACCCCUUGGUGGUGGAUAACCUUCCGAAAGGAGGGCUAAUACAGCGUAAGACCACGACUUCGAAAGAGGUUGAGGUAAAAGUGGGCCUCUGUACACAAGCUCACGCCAGGGGAUGGGUCCGCGGCCCAUCAGCUAGUUGGUAGGGUAACGGCCUACCAAGGCGAAGACGGGUAGCUGGUCUGAGAGGAUGAUCAGCCACACUGGAACUGAGACACGGUCCAGACUCCUACGGGAGGCAGCAGUGGGGAAUCUUGCGCAAUGGACGAAAGUCUGACGCAGCGACGCCGCGUGAGUGAUGAAGGCCU
rnacentral:rRNA from 1 species